rnacentral:rRNA from 1 species
GACGAACGCUGGCGGCGUGCUUAACACAUGCAAGUCGAACGGAAAGACCCUGCUUUUGUGGGGUGCUCGAGUGGCGAACGGGUGAGUAACACGUGAGUAACCUGCCCUUGACUUUGGGAUAACUUCAGGAAACUGGGGCUAAUACCGGAUAGGAGCUCCUGCUGCAUGGUGGGGGUUGGAAAGUUUCGGCGGUUGGGGAUGGACUCGCGGCUUAUCAGCUUGUUGGUGGGGUAGUGGCUUACCAAGGCUUUGACGGGUAGCCGGCCUGGGAGGGUGACCGGCCACAUUGGGACUGAGAUACGGCCCAGACUCCUACGGGAGGCAGCAGGGGGGAAUAUGGCACAAUGGGCGGAAGCCUGAUGCAGCAACGCCGCGUGCGGGAUGACGGCCUUCGGGUUGUAAACCGCUUUCGCCUGUGACGAAGCGUGAGUGACGGUAAUGGGUAAAGAAGCACCGGCUAACUACGUG